AGUGAACGCUGGCGGUAGGCCUAACACAUGCAAGUCGAACGGCAGCACAGUAAGAGCUUGCUCUUACGGGUGGCGGGUGGCGGACGGGUGAGGAAUACAUCGGAAUCUACUUUUUCGUGGGGGAUAACGUAGGGAAACUUACGCUAAUACCGCAUACGACCUACGGGUGAAAGCAGGGGAUCUUCGGACCUUGCGCGAUUGAAUGAGCCGAUGUCGGAUUAGCUAGUUGGCGGGGUAAAGGCCCACCAAGGCGACGAUCCGUAGCUGGUCUGAGAGGAUGAUCAGCCGCACUGGAACUGAGACACGGUCCAGACUCCUACGGGAGGCAGCAGUGGGGAAUAUUGGACAAUGGGCGCAAGCCUGAUCCAGCCAUACCGCGUGGGUGAAGAAGGCCUUCGGGUUGUAAAGCCCUUUUGUUGGGAAAGAAAAGCAGCAGGUUAAUACCCCGCUGUUCUGACGGUACCCAAAGAAUAAGCACCGGCUAACUUCGUG
rnacentral:rRNA from 1 species